CCCCCCGGUUGGCUAUUUAUAGACAGAAAAGAGGCAGUCAAAGCCCCUUCCCGGUUCCCCCCAUCCCCUGCAGCCUUACCACUCUGUCUAGCCCCGCAGCUGUCUUCCCCCUUCCCCCUCCUCCCCACCCCUGAACGCUCCUGGGAAGUCUGAAAAGAAGCAGGGCCAGGUGGGAAGCAGCAGCAGGUUUUGCCCCAAGAAAUACCUCAUGUUCCAGAAGACCUUUGCAAAAAAGUCUCAGUUUAUCAUAAAACCCUUCAGGCAAGGGGAGAGAGAGAGAGAACUCCCAGGAUAAGAGGGACAAAUUCCAGCCUACGUGCACAAGAUGUGGAAAAAGUCAGAUCCCAAGAGAUGAUGCAUGUCAGCCAGAAGCACGUGGUGGUAAUAACUGCAUGAAAUAUGAUCAUUUUGUAGCUGUUAGCCAUAUCAAAGCAGUCAGGGAGUUGACUCAUAUUACAAACAAUCAAGAGCCAUUGUUUCUGGGAUCUAUCACUUGUGAUAACAUGGAGACUGCCUGGAGAGUGAAACUGAAUAUUGAUGGCAAGACUAUUGACUUUAAAAUUGACUUAUGAGCUUAUGGCACAGUCCUCUCAGAAGGGAGUUACAAUCACCUUCAACCCCUCCCAGAGCUGAAGUUACCUCUGGCAGUUCUGAAUUGUAUGGGCCAGUUCACCACAGAAGCAACCUACAUUCUGAAUGCCUACCUUUUGUCUUUGUAUGUGAUCAAAGAUAAACAGCUUUCUCAGCCACAGUGUGACAGCCACGAUUGGCAUAGUGGGAAGGAUGAAAGAAUUUGUGGAGGAUUUUGGAUUCUUGAAAAAACAUCUAGUAUAAAUCUACAGUGUACAAACGCUCUUAACCAGAGAGACCUUGGAAGACAGAAACUAACCACAGAUUUACGUGAUUCAGAAGACAUCAUUACCUGGUCGUAGUGGGCUAUUUUUCCAGGUAUAUAGAAAUAAUGUACAUGAAAGACAUCAUAUUGCAGCAGGGCUUUGGCGUGGAGCCCGGAGCUGGAGCGCGGAGCAGCUCCGGAGCAGUGGAGCUGCAGGUUUUUGCCUGGAGCUGGAGUGGAGCCGGAGCACAGCUCCAAAGCCCUGCAUUGCAGGGUUAUUGAGAAACUGAAGUGCACUUUUGUUCAUUUUGAUAUUCCAGAACAACUAGCAAUGGACAAUGAACUACAAUUCACUGCAGCAGAAUUUAAUUCUAAAUGAAAUAUGAUUGUGAUCAUAUUAUUACAGUCCACGUUAUUCACAAGUGACUGGAGAGGCUGAGAAAGCUAUAUAGACAGCCAAGAAAGUCUUGCAUCAGGAAGAUUCAUUCCUUGCUCUUCUGAGUUACAGAUCAACAUCAGUAGCAGCUACUGGAUAUAAACCAGCACAACUCCUGAUUGGAACAUAAUCUGAGUGGUUUUCCCAAGUUGGAACAGAAGCUCUAUCUCCAAAGUGGCUAGACACGAAGAGAGUAGCCAAAUUUUGUUAAAAAGGCUAAAAGAGCUUAUUAACACUUUUACAACAGAUGUCACUCAGUUAAAGAAAUGCUGGGUCUAUAACCUGGUGACCAUGUUCACGUCAAAUUGGCUGGAGGAAAAAAAGAUGGACAACUCCAGUUGUGGUAAAGAAAAAGAAUUCAGCACUGUGACCAUAUGUGAUCAGCACUGACAGUGGAGGGUUCAGCAAAAAAACAAUUGACAGCUACAGUUCCUCAGAAAGAACAAUAAACUGAGAAACUUUACAGAUAGCAGAUGCAGAACAAGAAGACGACAACUCCAAAUUGAUCACAUUCAAUCUUUGCAACUAAUAGAUAACCAGAUGUCCAAGCUGUUACACAUUCAGGUUAUGUAAUUGGAAAACCAGUACUAUUCAGAGACACUUAACAGACUUAUAUGUACAGAACUUCAAAGAUAGCAUGAGUGUAAAUGGCAAGAAUGUAGAACUUAAAGGGGGAGAUGUAAUGGAAUGCUAAACUGUAUUGUACUGUUCAGCCACUAGGUGAUGCUGUGUGUAAAACACCUUAUUUAAACGAAUCAAAGCCAUACCUGACAGAGCAGUAAAGGAUCCUCUGAUGAACACGUGGUCUGUAUAAGCAAGCUCUGUAGCCAGUCCAUGUUCCUUUACCAGAUAUGCCACUCCUCUAUUAUUUUACAUUUAAAUUCAAGUUGAAUCCUUGCCUGCAAGAUUCUGCACCAUUCUCUUCUUUUCAUUUCUUCCUCCUUCUCCAUUGCUUUUUAUGUCUGUCUCAGUCCUUUCUCCUAAUUGUACCUUUGGUUUCCUCCCACUCUUGAUUUUAUGGUUACUUUCCACCAACCUGCUAUGCUUAGAGAAGCUUCUGCCUUCAUUAAUGCCAGGGACCUCCUCUUGCAUUCCUAUAAAUCAUGCCUUAAAACCAAGACCCUAUCUAGUUUGCACAAAAUGGGCUUAAAUACUGCAGCAUGGCCCUUCUGAAGAGCUAGUUAGGUGAUGGCUGUUGAUAUAAGGGAAGUUCAAGUCAUCCAACCAGCUUUAAGGCUGUGAGGUGUAAUGAUGCAGGGUCCAGGUGUAGAAUCUUGCCUGGAUUCUGGCAGACUAAAGCAGGAGGGUGAUUUGCAGAUAGGCUGACAGUUCCAUUGGGUUGGAGAAUCAAAACUGUCUGGUCCAUAGUGAGUUUAUCAUGAUCACAAGACAGACGCCCUGCUUCAGUUUUCUGAGAACACUGGGAUCACUGGGAAGGCAUAGAACAGUCCUGGUACCAGUAAAAGGAGAACAGUGUCUGUCAGUGAACCCACGCUUGCACAUCCACUGGAGCAAAACAUCCUGUAUUUGUUGUUUUUGAGGCAUAUAGCAAAUAGAAUCGCUGAUAGCAACCCUCCAUCUCAGGAAGAUGUUAUGGACUGUCAUUAGAUACCAUUCAUGAUACUUGAAAAAAUCCCUGCUGAGUUGAGCUGCUAGGGUGUUUUGUAGAUUGAACAGGUGGGUGGCAUAUGUGUAACACCGACAGAUUCCGGUCGUCAGCAGGUGGGAUCGAACCUGGGACCUCUGGAGCUUAGUGCACGAGCUUCUACUACUGCAUGAGCUAAAAGCCAUCUGGCUGUUAGCUAAGGCUGUAGAGCAGACUCAUUAAUCUCUUUCUGAGUGAUCUCAGUGCCACUAGAUGGAACAGAACACCACACCAAGAAGGUGUGUGGGUUACAUAUGCACCAGUUCCAAAGAUGUGGUGCUCUUGACAGAGUGGGCAAGAUUUGCUUUCCUCCCUCUUUGCGCCAU